rnacentral:lncRNA from 1 species
CAUUUUUGUUGGAAUUUUUGUUUGACUUUGUCGAAUUUUGUCCAAUUUUUGCCUAUCUUUGUGCUUAUUUGUGAUUAUUCCUGAUAAACGAUGGUUAGAUGUCUCAAAUUUUUCUAUUGCUAAGAUUUUACACUUUAAGGUGUUGAGUAUGACAUGGUUGAGUUUAAGGGUAUCUCUUUGAUGAAUAUUUGAGAUUUUGUGACUUUUGCACUUUUUGGUUAACUUUUCUAAGUAUUGUAAAUAUUUGUCUAGCAUUUUUUACACAAAUUGGUUCAGCUAUUAAUCUUAGUUCUCCAUGUUUAAGAAAUGAAGCGGGUUUGUGUGGUAUUUAAUUUUAUUUUUGGUGCUUAUUUAUGAAUAGUAUUAGGCUAUACUCCGCUAGUAUCGUUGCCUAGUAACCGGGAGUCUUCACCACAAGUGUCGACUUUCGCGUCAAAAAGCGACGAUAGCUAUGAGUAUGUGGUUUUUAAGCGAUGAUGGCUGAGUAACCGGGCUCCUUCAUUUGGCCAAUGUCGGAGUUCGCGUCAAAAUGCUUGAAUGGCUAAAAACUAAGCAUUCCCC